rnacentral:rRNA from 1 species
GACGAACGCUGGCGGCGUGCUUAACACAUGCAAGUCGAACGGAAAGGCCCUGCUUUUGUGGGGUGCUCGAGUGGCGAACGGGUGAGUAACACGUGAGUAACCUGCCCUUGACUUUGGGAUAACUUCAGGAAACUGGGGCUAAUACCGGAUAGGAGCUCCUGCUGCAUGGUGGGGGUUGGAAAGUUUCGGCGGUUGGGGAUGGACUCGCGGCUUAUCAGCUUGUUGGUGGGGUAGUGGCUUUCGAAGGCUUUGACGGGUAGCCGGCCUGAGAGGGUGACCGGCCACAUUGGGACUGAGAUACGGCCCAGACUCCUACGGGAGGCAGCAGUGGGGAAUAUUGCACAAUGGGCGGAAGCCUGAUGCAGCAACGCCGCGUGCGGGAUGACGGCCUUCGGGUUGUAAACCGCUUUCGCCUGUGACGAAGCGUGAGUGACGGUAAUGGGUAAAGAAGCACCGGCUAACUACGUG